GGGGUUGUGGCUCAGUGGUAGAGCACUUGCCUAGCAUGCAUGAGGCACUGGGUUCAAACCCCAGCACCACA
rnacentral:tRNA from 1 species